GAGACAAAUGAAAAUGAAAAAACAUACCAGAACUUGUGGGAUGCAGCAAGAGCAGUUCUAAGAGUGAAUUUUAAAAAAAGCCCAUACUGGG